rnacentral:rRNA from 1 species
GUAGGGGGCGAGCGUUGUCCGGAUUUAUUGGGCGUAAAGAGCUCGUAGGCGGCUCAGCAAGUCGGCCGUGAAAGCCUGAGGCUCAACCUCAGGACGCCGGUCGAAACUGCUGUGGCUAGGGUUCGGUAGAGGAGAGUGGAAUUCCCGGUGUAGCGGUGAAAUGCGCAGAUAUCGGGAGGAACACCAGUAGCGAAGGCGGCUCUCUGGGCCGAUACCGACGCUGAGGAGCGAAAGCUAGGGGAGCGAACAGGAUUAGAUACCCUGGUAGUCCUAGCUGUAAACGUUGGGCACUAGGUGUGGCGGACUCAUUGACGUCUGCCGUGCCGAAGCUAACGCAUUAAGUGCCCCCCGCCUGGGAGUACGGUCGCAAGGCUA